GGUAACAUGUUUCGGCGUCCUUCCACACUGUCGCGGCUUAUGUUGUUUUGCUGUUUGGGUUUGCACUGUCUUUUUGAGCUGUAACACAGCAAAGGUUUGCAGUUUCGCUCCUGAAAUCAUCGAGACCACAAACCCACCGGGAAGAACGAACAACUCCAGACGCACCGCUUUAAGAGCUGUAAUACUCGUUAGGAAGGUGUGCAGCUUGACUCCUGAGUCAGCGAGACCAUGAACCCAUCAGAAGGAAAAAACUCCGAACAUCAGAAGGAACAAGUUUCAGACACGCCACCUUUAAGAACUGUGAUACUCACCGCGAGGGCCCGCGGCUUCAUUCUUGAAGUCCGUGAGACCAAGAACCUACCAAUUCCGAAUACGUUGGGUUCAAGUGGUUCUCCUGCCUCAGACUCCCGAAUACCUGGGACUACAGGCACCCACCACGCCCGGGUAAUUGUAUGACAAUGGAGAGGUGAUUACUGCGCUGAAAAUCAGUUUCCUGAAGUGAAAAAGGGAAUCAAGUUACGUCACAGAGCCUGGUGUGAGCGGCGCUCUGUCAACACCAGCUCUUCAUGGGUUGUGGUUUCCUCCAGUUCCUGGAUGUGUGGAGUUCAUCCUCCACUGACUGGCGCCCCGGUUGACAAUGAGGUCUGGAAAUUGGCAACUGAUGAAGGGAAGUGUAUCAGUCCGUUUUCAUGCUGCUGAUAAAGACACACCCGAGACUGGGAAGAAAAAGAGGUUUAAUGGACUUACACUUCGACAUGGCUGGGGAGGCCUCACAAUCGUGGUAGAAGGCAAGGAGGAGCAAGUCACAUCUUACGUGGAUGGUGGUGGGCAAAAGAGAGAGAGCUUGUGCAGGGGAACUCCUCUUUUUAAAAGUAUCAGAUCUCGUGAGAUUUAUUCACUAUUAUGACAACAGCAGAAGACAGACCUGCCCCCAUGAUUCAAUUACCUCCCACUGAGUGCCUCCCUCAACAUGUGGGAAUUACGAGUUAUACUUCAAGAUGAUUUGGGUGGGGACACACAGCCAAACCAUAUUAGGGAGCAGGAAAAAGAAACAAAAACAGCAACUAAUAACUCCCAAGACCACAGCUUCGCUCCUGUCUAGAGCUUUGCUACUUAGCCACAGGAACACGGGUGAUCAUACCUCAACAGAAGUCUGCCAGCAUUCAUUACGACCAGUGCUUAAUCUCAUCUGACAAUAUCAAUGUCAAAAUCAGAGCUUGGAGCUGGCGGUGUUUCAGCAGAGGAGUCUUUGGAGCUUCCACGAACUGGUUCAAUAAACAAUCUUGCUGUGAAACACAGAGCUUGGUAUUUAGAAGGGUUUUAGCUGGCAUAUCCACAAAGCUGCAGCAUCCUGUCCACUGCUAAUUCCACUGUGAAAUGUUGAAAUACAGCUCUUAGCUCCGAGAAAGCAUGUAGGCUUCUAUUUGCAUGCAAAUCAUUGCCAUUCAUGUGUGAACUACAGCAGGUAACAGCUCUGCCAGAUGGAAUAAUUUGGGGUAAGGCCAUCCUCUUUGUUAAAGGCCACAGGUAUCCAUGCAUGCUGCAGUGUAGCUCAUUCCUACUUUCCACGUCACCCCCUGGGGAAUAAUCAUUUUAAUGAUGGGCCUCAAGGAAAGGAAACGCCAUUCUACCCUGUCAUCAUUUAGUAAACAAAAUGGUGCCAAUUAGUGUAAUGCUGACCUAAUGUAAUAUUUGAUGCAAUUAGUAAAUUGAGAGGGAUAAAAAGGAACAUGGUAAAUUGAUAGAUCAAGAAAACUCCCUUGGAUUUUGAAAAAGUACAGAUUGCAUGCAUGUUUCAAGGAAAACCACUGUGGUCUCACCCCAGGUGGCAGUGCCUUGUAGUGGUUAGGAGUGUGUGUCUCUAGAAUCGGAAUGCUUGUGUCUCAAUCGCAGCUCUACCUCUUACUAACCAGAAGACUUUGAAUAAAACUCACACUUCCUAAGUGUCAACUUCAUCAUCUGUAAAGUGAAGAUAGUAGUAGACAAUUGAACUUAAUCCUCUCCUGGUCAUAUGAGGUAGGUCUGAUUUAAGUAGUUGAGCAGCCUGCCUGAUACAUGUAAAGCUUAACAAUAACUAUAAAUAAUCAUAAUUACAAUGAAUAAAAUAGCCAUAGAAGCUAGUUGCAUUAAAUUUAUUUGUAAUAAAUGUAGUAGCUAAUGCUGUACUUGAUCAAUUCACAGAGCUGAUUUCUCCAAUAAAUAGGAAGCUCCUAAGUAUAGAGACCAUGUCUUCUCUUCUUGUCAUCAGUGGUUUGCUCACCAUCUAACACUUAGGAUGUAUUCAACAAAUGGUUAUUAAAUGCACAGGUUUUAAAAUUA